rnacentral:rRNA from 1 species
AUUGAACGCUGGCGGCAUGCCUUACACAUGCAAGUCGAACGGCAGCACGGGUGCUUGCACCUGGUGGCGAGUGGCGAACGGGUGAGUAAUACAUCGGAACAUGUCCUGUAGUGGGGGAUAGCCCGGCGAAAGCCGGAUUAAUACCGCAUACGAUCUACGGAUGAAAGCGGGGGACCUUCGGGCCUCGCGCUAUAGGGUUGGCCGAUGGCUGAUUAGCUAGUUGGUGGGGUAAAGGCCUACCAAGGCGACGAUCAGUAGCUGGUCUGAGAGGACGACCAGCCACACUGGGACUGAGACACGGCCCAGACUCCUACGGGAGGCAGCAGUGGGGAUUUUGGACAAUGGGCGAAAGCCUGAUCCAGCAAUGCCGCGUGUGUGAAGAAGGCCUUCGGGUUGUAAAGCACUUUUGUCCGGAAAGAAAUCCUUGGCUCUAAUACAGUCUGGGGAUGACGGUACCGGAAGAAUAAGCACCGGCUAACUACGUG